AGAUUGAACGCUAGCGGCGAUGCCUAACACAUGCAAGUCGAACGGGGUGGUGCCGGGUAGUAAUACCUUGUACAUCUAGUGGCGAACGGGUGCGUAACACGUGAGUAACCUACCCCGAAGUCUGGAAUAACACCGGGAAACCGAUGCUAAUACCGAAUACCCCCACCGGGUCACAUGGCCUGAUGAGGAAAUGGGUUUCUGCUUCGGGAGGGGCUCGCGGCCUAUCAGCUUGUUGGCAGGGUAAUGGCCUACCAAGGCAGUGAUCGGUAUCCGGCCUGAGAGGGCGCACGGACACACUGGAACUGAAACACGGUCCAGACUCCUACGGGAGGCAGC
rnacentral:rRNA from 1 species